GAUGAAGAACGUAGCGAAAUGCGAUAAGUAGUGUGAAUUGCAGAAUUCAGUGAAUCAUCGAAUCUUUGAACGCACAUUGCGCCCCUUGGUAUUCCAUGGGGCAUGCCUGUUCGAGCGUCAUUUGUACCCUCAAGCUCUGCUUGGUGUUGGGUGUUUGUCCUCUCCCUCGUGUUUGGACUCGCCUUAAAGCAAUUGGCAGCCAGUGUUUUGGUAUUGAAGCGCAGCACAUUUUGCGAUUCUAGCCUGUAAAUACUAGCAUCCAGUAAGCCUUUUUUCACUUUUGACCUCGGAUCAGGUAGGGAUACCCGCUGAACUUAAGCAUAUCAAUAAGCGGAGGA
rnacentral:misc_RNA from 1 species